GCAUUUAUAGCUCAAUGGAUAGAGUUUCAGGUUUCGACCCUGACGGUGUAGGUUCAAGUCCUACUAAAUGUU
rnacentral:tRNA from 1 species